rnacentral:rRNA from 1 species
UGAACGCUGGCGGCAGGCCUAACACAUGCAAGUCGAGCGGUAGCACAGAGAGCUUGCUCUCGGGUGACGAGCGGCGGACGGGUGAGUAAUGUCUGGGAAACUGCCUGAUGGAGGGGGAUAACUACUGGAAACGGUAGCUAAUACCGCAUAACGUCGCAAGACCAAAGUGGGGGACCUUCGGGCCUCAUGCCAUCAGAUGUGCCCAGAUGGGAUUAGCUAGUAGGUGGGGUAACGGCUCACCUAGGCGACGAUCCCUAGCUGGUCUGAGAGGAUGACCAGCCACACUGGAACUGAGACACGGUCCAGACUCCUACGGGAGGCAGCAGUGGGGAAUAUUGCACAAUGGGCGCAAGCCUGAUGCAGCCAUGCCGCGUGUGUGAAGAAGGCCUUCGGGUUGUAAAGCACUUUCAGCGGGGAGGAAGGCGNURAGGUUAAUAACCUUGUCGAUUGACGUUACCCGCAGAAGAAGCACCGGCUAACUCCGUGCCAGCAGCCGCGGUAAUACGGAGGGUGCAAGCGUUAAUCGGAAUUACUGGGCGUAAAGCGCACGCAGGCGGUCUGUCAAGUCGGAUGUGAAAUCCCCGGGCUYAACCUGGGAACUGCAUUCGAAACUGGCAGGCUAGAGUCUUGUAGAGGGGGGUAGAAUUCCAGGUGUAGCGGUGAAAUGCGUAGAGAUCUGGAGGAAUACCGGUGGCGAAGGCGGCCCCCUGGACAAAGACUGACGCUCAGGUGCGAAAGCGUGGGGAGCAAACAGGAUUAGAUACCCUGGUAGUCCACGCCGUAAACGAUGUCGAUUUGGAGGUUGUGCCCUUGAGGCGUGGCUUCCGGAGCUAACGCGUUAAAUCGACCGCCUGGGGAGUACGGCCGCAAGGUUAAAACUCAAAUGAAUUGACGGGGGCCCGCACAAGCGGUGGAGCAUGUGGUUUAAUUCGAUGCAACGCGAAGAACCUUACCUGGUCUUGACAUCCACAGAACUUUCCAGAGAUGGAUUGGUGCCUUCGGGAACUGUGAGACAGGUGCUGCAUGGCUGUCGUCAGCUCGUGUUGUGAAAUGUUGGGUUAAGUCCCGCAACGAGCGCAACCCUUAUCCUUUGUUGCCAGCGGUYCGGCCGGGAACUCAAAGGAGACUGCCAGUGAUAAACUGGAGGAAGGUGGGGAUGACGUCAAGUCAUCAUGGCCCUUACGACCAGGGCUACACACGUGCUACAAUGGCAUAUACAAAGAGAAGCGACCUCGCGAGAGCAAGCGGACCUCAUAAAGUAUGUCGUAGUCCGGAUUGGAGUCUGCAACUCGACUCCAUGAAGUCGGAAUCGCUAGUAAUCGUAGAUCAGAAUGCUACGGUGAAUACGUUCCCGGGCCUUGUACACACCGCCCGUCACACCAUGGGAGUGGGUUGCAAAAGAAGUAGGUAGCUUAACCUUCGGGAGGGCGCUUACCACUUUGUGAUUCAUGACUGGGGUGAAGUCGUAACAAGGUAACCGUAGGGGAAC